GAUGAACGCUGGCGGCGUGCCUAAUACAUGCAAGUCGAGCGAACAGAUGAGGAGCUUGCUCCUCUGACGUUAGCGGCGGACGGGUGAGUAACACGUGGAUAACCUACCUAUAAGACGGGGAUAACUUCGGGAAACCGGAGCUAAUACCGGCUCAUAUAUUGAACCGCAUGGUUCAAUAGUGAAAGACGGCUUUGCUGUCACUUAUAGAUGGAUCCGCGCCGCAUUAGCUAGUUGGUAAGGUAACGGCUUACCAAGGCAACGAUGCGUAGCCGACCUGAGAGGAUGAUCGGCCACACUGGAACUGAGACACGGUCCAGACUCCUACGGGAGGCAGCAGUAGGGAAUCUUCCACAAUGGGCGCAAGCCUGACGGAGCAACGCCGCGUGAGUGAUGAAGGUCUUCGGAUCGUAAAACUCUGUUAUUAGGGAAGAACAAAUGUGUAAGUAACUAUGCACGUCUUGACGGUACCUAAUCAGAAAGCCACGGCUAACUACGUG
rnacentral:rRNA from 1 species